GAUGAACGCUCGCGAUAGGCUUAACACAUGCAAGUCGAGGGGCAGCACAAGGUAGCUUGCUCUCUGGGUGGCGACCGGCGCGCGGGUGCGUAACGCGUAUGCAACUUGCCCUAUACAGGAGGAUAACCCGUCGAAAGACGGACUAAUACUGCGUAUGCUCACAACUUGGCAUCAAGUGGUGAGGAAAGAAAUUCGGUAUAGGAUAGGCAUGCGUCCCAUUAGCUUGUUGGUGAGGUAACGGCUCACCAAGGCAACGAUGGGUAGGGGAACUGAGGGGUUUAUCCCCACACUGGUACUGAGACACGGACCAGACUCCUACGGGAGGCAGCAGUGAGGAAUAUUGGUCAAUGGGCGCGAGCCUGAACCAGCCAAGUCGCGUGAAGGAUGACUGUGUUAUGGAUUGUAAACUUCUUUUAGACGGGAAUAACAAAAGUCACGGGUGACUCCCUGCAUGUACCGGAUGAAUAAGCAUCGGCUAACUCCGUG
rnacentral:rRNA from 1 species